rnacentral:rRNA from 1 species
CAUGCAAGUCGAGGGGCAGCAUGUUGGUUGCUUGCAACCAAUGAUGGCGACCGGCGCACGGGUGAGUAACGCGUAUCCAACCUACCCUUGUCCAUCGGAUAACCCGUCGAAAGGCGGCCUAACACGAUAUGCGGUUCUCAGCAGGCAUCUAACGAGAACGAAAUGUGGAGGAGAAGGAUGGGGAUGCGUCUGAUUAGCUUGUUGGCGGGGUAACGGCCCACCAAGGCGACGAUCAGUAGGGGUUCUGAGAGGAAGGUCCCCCACAUUGGAACUGAGACACGGUCCAAACUCCUACGGGAGGCAGCAGUGAGGAAUAUUGGUCAAUGGACGAGAGUCUGAACCAGCCAAGUAGCGUGCAGGAAGACGGCCCUAUGGGUUGUAAACUGCUUUUAUAGGGGGAUAAAGCGUGCCACGUGUGGCAUAUUGCAGGUACCCUAUGAAUAAGGACCGGCUAAUUCCGUGCCAGCAGCCGCGGUAAUACGGAAGGUCCAGGCGUUAUCCGGAUUUAUUGGGUUUAAAGGGAGCGUAGGCCGUUUGGUAAGCGUGUUGUGAAAUGUCGGGGCUCAACCUGGGCAUUGCAGCGCGAACUGCCAGACUUGAGUGCGCAGGAAGUAGGCGGAAUUCGUCGUGUAGCGGUGAAAUGCUUAGAUAUGACGAAGAACUCCGAUUGCGAAGGCAGCCUGCUGUAGCGCAACUGACGCUGAAGCUCGAAAGCGUGGGUAUCGAACAGGAUUAGAUACCCUGGUAGUCCACGCGGUAAACGAUGGAUGCUCGCUGUUUGCGUCUGACGUAAGCGGCCAAGCGAAAGCGUUAAGCAUCCCACCUGGGGAGUACGCCGGCAACGGUGAAACUCAAAGGAAUUGACGGGGGCCCGCACAAGCGGAGGAACAUGUGGUUUAAUUCGAUGAUACGCGAGGAACCUUACCCGG